CGAGUAGAAUAAAUGAUCGCGGCUGCUAUGUCCGAAAGGAUGCAGCCGAGGAAAGUCCGGGCUUCGCAGGGCAGAAUGCCGGAUAACAUCCGGUGGAGGCGACUCUAAGGAUAGUGCAACAGAAAUAUACCGCCUGCAGAUUGCCUGCAGGUAAGGGUGGAAGGGCAGUUUAAGAGACUACCGCCCUCCCGGUAACGGGAGGGGCAUAUGUAAACCCCAUUCGAAGCAAGGCCGAAUAGAAAGCGAAGGGCUGCCCGUCCAGCUUUCGGGUAGGUCGCUCGAGUCUGCUGGCGACAGCAGACCCAGAUAGAUGAUCAUUCACGACAUAACCCGGCUUAUCGUUCUGCUCGGUGA
rnacentral:RNase_P_RNA from 2 species